UAGGUCAGGAGAUGCUUCAUAGUCC
rnacentral:miRNA from 1 species